AGGUUACUGCUAUCGGUGUUCGCCUAAGCCAUGCGAGUCAUAUGUCCGUAAGAACAUGGCGUACUGCUCAGUAACACGUGGAUAACCUGCCCUUGGGUCCGGCAUAACCCCGGGAAACUGGGGAUAAUUCCGGAUAACGCACAUAUGCUGGAAUGCUUUAUGCGUAAAAUGGAUUCGUCUGCCCAAGGAUGGGUCUGCGGCCUAUCAGGUAGUAGUGGGUGUAAUGUACCUACUAGCCUACGACGGGUACGGGUUGUGAGAGCAAGAGCCCGGAGAUGGAUUCUGAGACAUGAAUCCAGGCCCUACGGGGCGCAGCAGGCGCGAAAACUUUACAAUGCGGGAAACCGUGAUAAGGGGACACCGAGUGCCAGCAUCCUAUGCUGGCUGUCCGGGUGUGUAAAAUACACCUGUUAGCAAGGGCCGGGCAAGACCGGUGCCAGCCGCCGCGGUAACACCGGCGGCCCGAGUGGUGAUCGUGAUUAUUGGGUCUAAAGGGUCCGUAGCCGGUUUGGUCAGUCCUCCGGGAAAUCUGACAGCUUAACUGUUAGGCUUUCGGAGGAUACUGCCAGACUUGGAACCGGGAGAGGUAAGAGGUACUACAGGGGUAGGAGUGAAAUCUUGUAAUCCCUGUGGGACCACCUGUGGCGAAGGCGUCUUACCAGAACGGGUUCGACGGUGAGGGACGAAAGCUGGGGGCACGAACCGGAUUAGAUACCCGGGUAGUCCCAGCCGUAAACGAUGCUCGCUAGGUGUCAGGCAUGGCGCGACCGUGUCUGGUGCCGCAGGGAAGCCGUGAAGCGAGCCACCUGGGAAGUACGGCCGCAAGGCUGAAACUUAA
rnacentral:rRNA from 1 species